rnacentral:misc_RNA from 1 species
AAGAGCGUAGUGCGGGAAAUCCGCACGCUACGUUCUGUGGGAAUCGGUGGCGGGUGACUGCCACCGAUGACCCGGUCUGAGGGUUAGAUACCCUCAGCUACCCGAU